AUUAUUGGACAAUGGGGGCAAACCUGAUCCAGCCAGGUCGCGUGUGUGAAGAAGGUCUUUGGAUUGUAAAGCACUAUAAGUUGGGGGGAAGGGCUUUAGGGUAAUACCCUGAAGUUUUGACGUUAAUAACGGAAUAAGCAACGGCUAACUAUGUGCCAGCAGCCGUGGUAAUACAGAGUGUGCAAGAGUUAAUCGGAAUUACUGGGCUUAAAGCGCGCGUAUGUGGUUCAGUAAAAUGGGUGUAAAAUCCCCGAGCUUAACCUAGGAACUGCUUUCAUGACUGCUGAGCUAGAGCACGGUAGAGCGUAGUGGAAUUUCCUUUGUAGCGGUGAAAUGCGUAGAUCUAGGAAGGAACACCAGUGGCGAAGGCGACUACCUGGAAUGAUACUGACACUGAGGUGCGAAAGCGUAGGGAGCAAAC
rnacentral:rRNA from 1 species